GUGGGGAAUAUUGCACAAUGGGCGCAAGCCUGAUGCAGCAACGCCGCGUGGGGGAUGACGGCCUUCGGGUUGUAAACCUCUUUUAGUAGGGAAGAAGCGAAAGUGACGGUACCUGCAGAAAAAGCACCGGCUAACUACGUGCCAGCAGCCGCGGUAAUACGUAGGGUGCAAGCGUUGUACGGAAUUAUUGGGCGUAAAGAGCUCGUAGGCGGUUUGUCGCGUCUGCUGUGAAAUCCCGAGGCUCAACCUCGGGCCUGCAGUGGGUACGGGCAGACUAGAGUGCGGUAGGGGAGAUUGGAAUUCCUGGUGUAGCGGUGGAAUGCGCAGAUAUCAGGAGGAACACCGAUGGCGAAGGCAGAUCUCUGGGCCGCUACUGACGCUGAGGAGCGAAAGCAUGGGGAGCGAACAGGAUUAGAAACCCCGGUAGUCC
rnacentral:rRNA from 1 species